rnacentral:rRNA from 1 species
AUUGAACGCUGGCGGCAGGCCUAACACAUGCAAGUCGAGCGGAUGAGAAGAGCUUGCUCUUCGAGUUAGCGGCGGACGGGUGAGUAAUGCCUAGGAAUCUGCCUGGUAGUGGGGGACAACGUUUCGAAAGGAACGCUAAUACCGCAUACGUCCUACGGGAGAAAGCAGGGGACCUUCGGGCCUUGCGCUAUCAGAUGAGCCUAGGUCGGAUUAGCUAGUUGGUGAGGUAAUGGCUCACCAAGGCGACGAUCCGUAACUGGUCUGAGAGGAUGAUCAGUCACACUGGAACUGAGACACGGUCCAGACUCCUACGGGAGGCAGCAGUGGGGAAUAUUGGACAAUGGGCGAAAGCCUGAUCCAGCCAUGCCGCGUGUGUGAAGAAGGUCUUCGGAUUGUAAAGCACUUUAAGUUGGGAGGAAGGGCAGUAAGCGAAUACCUUGCUGUUUUGACGUUACCAACAGAAUAAGCACCGGCUAACUCUGUGCCAGCCGCCGCAGUAAGAC